GAUCCUGGCUCAGGAUGAACGCUGGCGGCGUGCCUAACACAUGCAAGUCGAACGGAGUCGUUUUGGAAAAUCCUUCGGGAUUGGAAUUCUCGACUUAGUGGCGGACGGGUGAGUAACGCGUGAGCAAUCUGCCUUCAAGAGGGGGAUAACAGUCGGAAACGGCUGCUAAUACCGCAUAAAGCAUCAAAUUCGCAUGUUUUUGAUGCCAAAGGAGCAAUCCGCUUUUAGAUGAGCUCGCGU
rnacentral:rRNA from 1 species